rnacentral:lncRNA from 1 species
GUUCUAAUCACGAUACUUUCAGUAUGUUCAUACAUUAUGUAAUUUGUUGAACAUGUAAUAACUGAACAAAAACGAUAAAAAGUGUAAAAUUAUAAAAUUAUAAUAUGGAUGAAAAAUCGAAGAAAAUAAACUGACAACACUAUGUCUAAAAAGAAGGAAAAAGACAAACUGACAAACAAAAGUACACAAAACACAACAUAGAAAACUAAAGAAAGACUAAGCAACACGAACCCAACUUAAAACUGGGGCUGAUCUCAGGUGCUCCGGUUGGGUAAGCAGACAUGUGGCAUUUUUUAAAGAUUCUACGAAACAAAAUGUUUAAGUGUAAAUCAUCACUUGAGUACUAUUUUGUUUUUAUUUAAAAUGCAUUUCCUUGGUAUAAAUAUGAACUCAAUUUAAAUACC